GCCAUUACUACACUAGACGUGACUGGAGGCACGGGUUUAAGAUAUGGAUGACCACAGUGCAGAUAAGGGGAACGUAGUGCUGCCGCCUGGUGGUGCUGUGCCUUCAGGGAAGGCCAAUGAGGAAAACAUGAUUGACAACCCAUAUCUUCGGCCAGUCAAAAAGCCCAAAUUACAGCGAACAUACGAGGAACCAGAG